CCUCGGGAGGCAGCAGUAGGGAAUAUUGCACAAUGGAGGAAACUCUGAUGCAGCGAUGCCGCGNUGAGUGAAGAAGGCCUUUGGGUUGUAAAGCUCUUUCGUCGGGGAAGAAAAUGACGGUACCCGAAUAAGAAGGUCCGGCUAACUUCGUGCCAGCAGCCGCGGUAAUACGAAGGGACCUAGCGUAGUUCGGAAUUACUGGGCUUAAAGAGUUCGUAGGUGGUUAAAAAAGUUGGUUGUGAAAUCCCGAAGCUUAACUUCGGAACUGCAAUCAAAACUUUUUAGCUAGAGUAUGAUAGAGGAAAGCAGAAUUUCUAGUGUAGAGGUGAAAUUCGUAGAUAUUAGAAAGAAUACCAAUUGCGAAGGCAGCUUUCUGGAUCAUUACUGACGCUGAGGAACGAAAGCAUGGGUAGCGAAGAGGAUUAGAUACCCUCGUAGUCCAUGCCGUAAACGAUGUGUGUUAGACGUUGGAAAUUUAUUUUCAGUGUCGCAGCGAAAGCGAUAAACACACCGCCUGGGGAGUACGACCGCAAGGUUAAAACUCAAAUGAAUUGACGG
rnacentral:rRNA from 1 species